rnacentral:rRNA from 1 species
GCAUAUCAAUAGCGGAGGAAAAGAAACCAACAGGGAUUGCCUCAGUAACGGCGAGUGAAGCGGCAACAGCUCAAAUUUGAAAUCUGGCCUCUUUGGGGUCCGAGUUGUAAUUUGUAGAGGAUGUUUCGGGCACCGCUCCGGUUUAAAUUUCUUGGAACAGAAUGUCAAAGAGGGUGAGAACCCCGUCUUGGACCGGCAGUAGGGCCCAUGUGAAACUCCUUCGACGAGUCGAGUUGUUUGGGAAUGCAGCUCAAAAUGGGUGGUAAAUUUCAUCUAAAGCUAAAUAUUGGCCAGAGACCGAUAGCGCACAAGUAGAGUGAUCGAAAGAUGAAAAGCACUUUGAAAAGAGAGUUAAACAGUACGUGAAAUUGUUGAAAGGGAAGCGCUUGCAACCAGACUUGCGCGCGGCGGUUCCCCCUUCCUUUUGGUUGGGUUAUUCCGCCGUGUCCAGGCCAACAUCGGUUCUGGGGGUCGGUUAAAGGCCUGGGGAAUGUAUCUACCCUUCGGGCGUAGACUUAUAGCCCCGGGUGUCAUGCGACCUCCCGGGACCGAGGAACGCGCUUCGGCUCGGAUGUUGGCGUAAUGGUUGUCAGCGACCCGUCUUGAAACACGGACCAAGGAGUCUAACAUCUAUGCGAGUGUUUGGGUGUCAAACCCGGAACGCGGAAUGAAAGUGAACGGAGGUAGGAAGCUUCGGCUGCACUAUCGACCGAUCCUGAUGUCUUCGGAUGGAUUUGAGUAAGAGCAUAGCUGUUGGGACCCGAAAGAUGGUGAACUAUGCCUGAAUAGGGUGAAGCCAGAGGAAACUCUGGUGGAGGCUCGCAGCGGUUCUGACGUGCAAAUCGAUCGUCAAAUUUGGGUAUAGGGGCGAAAGACUAAUCGAACCAUCUGGUAGCUGGUUCCUGCGA